CUCCCUUGCGAAAAGCAAGGACCAGCUGGAUCAGUGCUGAGCACGGAACUGGUCUGUAUGUCUGGUCUGCUCCUGAGGGAAACAUGAAGGUCUCUCUGGUUGCCCUCCUUGCUCUCCUUGUUGCUGCUUUCUGCUCCCAAGCCUGCUCUGCUCCAGCUGCCCCUGACACAGCUGUGUGCUGUUUCAUGUACACUUUGCAGAAGCUUUCCAGGAAAUAUGUGAAGGAAUAUUUCUAUACUACCAGCAGAUGCCAGCAGCCAGCAGUUGUCUUCAUCACCAGGAAGAAUCACCAGGUCUGUGCUGACCCAAAUGCCAGCUGGGUGAAGGAAUUGGUGAACUUCUUGGAGAUGCACUGAGAGGACGGUCACCGCGUGACUCCCAGGUGCUCCAGCUUUGGAUUUUUAGAGUGCCAGGAACAAUUUCGGUGUCAUGAAUGACUCACCCCAGCUCAUUGGAGCCCCAGUAGGCCUCACUGGGCCUGAGCAGCCCUUCUCACCUGACCUUACUCUGGAAAAGCAAGCUCAUGCCUCAGUUUCCCCAUCUGUAAGAGAGGGAUAGCAAUGCUUAAAAGCUUUCUGUGAAACAUUCAUGGUGACACUGCAUGAAAGCAAAAUGCUAUGUGCAUUUUUUUGAUUAUUCUCAUGUUCUGUCUGAUUUUAUUUCCCCCCCUGCUUCCCUCUGUGGCUAGGCUUGGUUACAGGAUCCCCCUUUUCUCCUACCACAGCAGGCUGUAUCAGAGCUGCUCUGCAGGUAUGCAGAACAAAGUCUUGCACCUCUUCCCUCACAUUCAUCUACCUGCCAAGCCUAUAAAGCGUUUGGGUUCCCUCAGGACCUCCUCUGGGGCAUCCCUCUAACACCUCAAGUGAAGGGGUGAUAUACUGAGGUAUUUCAGGUGCGCUGUUAACUGGUGAUUUUCAGCUUUGUUCUGUAGACACUGUUUCAAGCUGACAUUAAGG